GUGAGUGUAUUCUGCUUGCUGAUGAGUAUAUCAGGAACUGUUACACAUUUGGUCUCGAGAAAACACUCAUGCUUCCCAGUGUUUUGAGAGUAGCAAGACAGCUGAUAAAACUGUUGUGGAUUGUGGAGUGUGUGACUUGAUGCCGACAAAGAAAACUAAAUUAUGAACAAAUAACAGGAAGUUGUAGGAGCAUCCCUUUUUUCUGAACGACUACACAGAUGUUUUGAGUAUGUUAAAGCUUUCAGUCUGAUUUUACUUUGUAUUUGUCUGCUCGGGCGCUUGGAGAUGUUAUCCUUAAAAAGGUGUAUUACUACAGGUCUUUUAGAAGAUUUGACUACUGAGCUGAACUUUAAGAAUUAUCUGCCGCAGAGAAUAUUUGUAAAGUGAUUUGAGUUACUCUGUAAAAGUAUAUCCGUGAAACUGGGCAGAAACAAAAUGUUUGUCGACUAAAGAGUAUCGGAGCGACUAAAGUGUGAACAAUUACGCGCCCAUGCGUGUUCAACUGGAUGAUCCUGCGGUAUCAAGACACAGCUCGUGGAACUCGGGUUCAACAAAUUAAAAUUCAGCAGUGGAUACACGUCCAUGGUCCUACAACCACGACAUCCUGAGAGUUUGUGAAGAUAACAUUGCAUGAUUUGUAUAUACUGUCACAUAGCUGUAUAGAUGGUUGACACUGUCUCUGGACCUGUUGAAUAAAGCUAAAUGUUUUGCUGCAUGUGCUCUCAAAUGUAAACCUGAUGAGUCCUGAGACUGGUAUGUGACAGGUGCAUGCAAAUGAUGCGAUUCUUCUUAUUCUUCCUUUGUGAGUCUCCUUGUCUUCUGACAGAUUGCAAAGAAGGAAACACGAGGAAGACAGUGAGAGAAAGAUUAAACAGAAAUCUCACCCAGCCAGAACUCCCCGCUGAUGUCACCAAAGCCCUGUUCAUACUGUGUCCAGUUCCUGUAGA
rnacentral:lncRNA from 1 species